CGACCCCAGGUCAGGCGGGAUUACCCGCUGAGUUUAAA
rnacentral:rRNA from 1 species